UACGGGGGGGGCAAGCGUUGUUCGGAAUUACUGGGCGUAAAGGGCUCGUAGGCGGCCAACUAAGUCAUACGUGAAAUCCCUCAGCUUAACUGGGGAACUGCGUGUGAUACUGGAUGGCUUGGAUUUGGGAGAGGGAUGCGGAAUUCCAGGUGUAGCGGUGAAAUGCGUAGAUAUCUGGAGGAACACCGGUGGCGAAGGCGGCGACCUGGGUCGAGACUGACGCUGAGGCGCGAAAGCGUGGGGAGCAAACAGG
rnacentral:rRNA from 1 species